GAUUUAAUGCUUCUUAAUAAGUUUUUUGUUCGCAUCUGCUAAAUUCUGGUAUAAAAGGAGGAUCAGGUACUUCAGAUGUACAAAACCUAGUUUGUGCGUCGUCAACGAGAGAGGGCACAGAUAGAAAAAGAAAAAAAAAAAUCACCCAGAUAUGGAGGAGUCUUGGUUGUUUCAAUACUCAAAUAAUCCAGAAUUAUCAAGGUUUGGAUCGGCGGAGCAGUUUUCCAGUGGCUGUGAGUGGGAUGAGCUUCUUCUCAACUUCAAUAACCCUGAUGAAACGGUUUGGUCGGAUUUGUUGGGUGAUGAAGAAGAAAGGCGUAAAGCAUCCUCAGAGUCUAAUAACACCUCCAUCGAUGGCGGCGUAAAGGAGGAAGAGGUUUGCUCGGAGGAACCCAAGAAAGUGAAGAGUUAUAGAGGGGUGAGAAAAAGGCCAUGGGGUAAAUUUGCAGCUGAGAUUAGGGAUUCAACCAGAAAUGGUGCCAGGGUUUGGCUUGGAACAUUCGACAGUGCCGAAGCAGCUGCUUUAGCAUACGACCAAGCCGCAUUCUCAAUGAGAGGUCCAUUGGCUACUCUCAAUUUCCCCAUCGAAACCGUCAAGGAAUCCCUUCAGGAACUCAAGCAUCGAUGCGAUGAAGACAAGGGUUGCUCGCCUUUGGUGGCUCUCAAGAAUCGCUACUCCUUGAGGAAAAGAUCCAAGAACAAGAAAAUCAAGCCGAACGCCGCUGCAUUAAGGCAACAACAAAACUUGCUGGUUUUUGAGGAUUUAGGACCUGAUUUCUUGGAACAAUUGUUAAGCUCAUGUGAGUGAAACUACAGCUCCUUGGUAAAUGAUUUUUGCCAUGAUGAAACCAAUCUCAUGCCAUAUCCUUGUUCUUUUCUUAAUUUCAUUCAAUCUUUGUAACUUCUCUUUGCUGGGGUGUCUGAUUUAAGGCCUCUUGCAUCUUGUUCCAUACUUCACCAUCUUCAUCUGAUGUUGGUCUUACAAGUUGAAAAAUAAUGGAAAUUAAUCUACAAUAAUUUCACCUUCC